AUGGGUUAAAUACCUUUCUGGACAUAUUGAACAUGAGGCAGCAGUGUAUACUGCAUUGAGGUAUUUGUGAGAACUUAGUGGAGAUGUCAGAGAUGGAGAAUGAAAUUUAAGUGGAGAGAAGCAAGGGCAGUCCACUCAGUGAACACCUGGCAGAGGACUUGUGGGUGGUGCUCAAUCCAUCCAGGUUCAGGUAUGUCUGGAUAGGGCCGCUGAUUCAUAGGCAUCUAUUUCCACAAGCUGAUAAUCUGCAUUUGGGAAAGAGGCCUAUUGGUGCAGAGAGAAGGGACAAAGUAGCCCAUGAUCCAGGUCUUCAGAGGUCCCUGGAGCAGCCUCAGUGAUUCAUG
rnacentral:lncRNA from 1 species